rnacentral:lncRNA from 12 species
GUUGAUACCAAUGACAAAAUAUUCUGCAGCUUCAAAGACAUGUAGUCAAAUGCUUGAGCAAACUUUUCAAAUUUAAAGAAGAGGGCUUUCUGGCAGUUGAACAACAACAACAACAAAAAGACAAAUGUGGCACCCUCAGUAUCUAACAUCUUUUCAAGGCCUUGUCUCUUGUAAGUGAAUUUAUACUAAUUUUGCUAAGUGGAUCUUAAAUUUGUUUGCAUUUAUUCAGUAAACUUCCAAACAAGCUAGAGCGAUUCAAAAGUUUAAGAAAGCUUGAAGUUAGACAUUUAGCUAAUCAAAACAAUACAUCCAAUUUCAAAUAAAUUGAGAGACAAGACCUAAGCAGCCCUAACCUCUGCAUCUCCUGAAAGGCUGCCUUUAUUGAAGUGUUUGGAAAGCCAAUGUGAAGUGGGUGGAAUGUAUUCCUAUCUCAGUAUAACAGCAGCAUUUUAAAUUAAUUUCAGUCCAGACAGGCAUCUGCAAGAAGGUCACAAAAAAAGAGAAAGAGGCGCACUGCUGUACUCCCACACCACAAAGGAAAGCUCUGCAGUCAUAAUAACUGGUUAAUUUCUUAAUCAACCACACAGUUUGACCCUCAUACUACGUCCCACUCAGCCUCCACAACAAUCAGAUUCCCUUACCAUGACAAACUACUCCACUGCUUCAAUCGAGGCCUGCCCAUCCGGGACACAGUUAUUGCCUACACCUGCACUUCACUGGGGCUGAAGUGCUAAAUCACUACAAUUAAGUGACAGGAAAGAUGAGCUCUCAGCAAUUAUUAAUCGCUGCACUUUAUAUUGAAGCAGGAUUAGUUGUCCAGGAGAUGAGGGGUUUUUUUACCCCCAACACUGAAAUCCAGGGCAGAAGCCAGGGUCAAAACAGCAGCACCUGGAAAAGUGCAUGCCUUGGAGGACUGGACGGAGAGAGAGAACUGCAGAGAAGAACUGCAUAUUUGAAUGGACUAUUAACACAAGAGCAGCACUUGACAACUGGCUACUUCACCCUUGCCCUGAACUUCCUGCUCAGAGCUUGCCAUGAUUGAUUUUACAGGUAGGUUUUCUGUAUAAUAUUAAACUAAAUC